rnacentral:lncRNA from 1 species
CAGGUAUAUUCCCACAGGCUGUGUGCUCUGGCCCUGGAUGGGGUGAGCUGUUGGGCCGAAUGGGCAAUGAAAGCUGGUACUGUCGGUGGUGUUGCAGGUGCAACUGGGCAUCCUGGACGGGCACCGCGUAGUGGGAUUCCUGCAUUGCACGCAUUUACAUGCACCCACUGGUGAGCCCUGUGGGAAGGAUUGUUGGACGGUAGCCAGGCCCUCCUACGGCCCCUCUUUCGCAGCAGGCCUACCCUUAUUUGCACCUCUCUUUCCCACUGCCCACUGUUUUUUGUUCACUGCCCCAGUAAUGGCAACUCCCAAGAAGUGCCUGGGUGGGUGCAGAGACCCCAGUCUAGCGGGAACCAGGUGUCCAGGAUGUGGAUCCUCAACCUGGGCCGAAUAGAAGGCGGCACACCUCUACCCCCACCCUCCACCCCUUCUGUAGAGGAUGGGCUCUUGCGCUGCAAACAGCUGACGCUGCUACUGGACUGGGCAGAGCAGUUUGAGGCCGAGAGCCGCCAGAGUGGUGAGGCUGUGGCCUUUAGUGUGCUUCUGGGUGACCUAAAUUUUGACAACUGCUCAAAAGGUGAGGAGCUUAGCUGGGGGAGGCGAGGCCAAAAGGCCCAGCCCCGCCCACUGAACGCUGGUCUUAUGUGCAGACCACGCACAGGAACAGGGGCACAAACUCUUUCGCUGUUUCCGGGAUCCCUGCCGGCUGAGCACACGCCAGGAUCAGCCUUGGGCCUUGGGUAUGCGUCAGGGGGUUGGUGGGGGAGGGGUGGCCCCUCCAGGGAUUCAUCAGCUAGG